UGCUAUACAUGCAGUCGAACGCACAGCGAAAGGUGCUUGCACCUUUCAAGUGAGUGGCGAACGGGUGAGUAACACGUGGACAACCUGCCUCAAGGCUGGGGAUAACAUUUGGAAACAGAUGCUAAUACCGAAUAAAACUUAGUGUCGCAUGACACAAAGUUAAAAGGCGCUUCGGCGUCACCUAGAGAUGGAUCCGCGGUGCAUUAGUUAGUUGGUGGGGUAAAGGCCUACCAAGACAAUGAUGCAUAGCCGAGUUGAGAGACUGAUCGGCCACAUUGGGACUGAGACACGGCCCAAACUCCUACGGGAGGCUGCAGUAGGGAAUCUUCCACAAUGGGCGAAAGCCUGAUGGAGCAACGCCGCGUGUGUGAUGAAGGCUUUCGGGUCGUAAAGCACUGUUGUAUGGGAAGAACAGCUAGAAUAGGAAAUGAUUUUAGUUUGACGGUACCAUACCAGAAAGGGACGGCUAAAUACGUGCCAGCAGCCGCGGUAAUACGUAUGUCCCGAGCGUUAUCCGGAUUUAUUGGGCGUAAAGCGAGCGCAGACGGUUUAUUAAGUCUGAUGUGAAAGCCCGGAGCUCAACUCCGGAAUGGCAUUGGAAACUGGUUAACUUGAGUGCAGUAGAGGUAAGUGGAACUCCAUGUGUAGCGGUGGAAUGCGUAGAUAUAUGGAAGAACACCAGUGGCGAAGGCGGCUUACUGGACUGCAACUGACGUUGAGGCUCGAAAGUGUGGGUAGCAAACAGGAUUAGAUACCCUGGUAGUCCACACCGUAAACGAUGAACACUAGGUGUUAGGAGGUUUCCGCCUCUUAGUGCCGAAGCUAACGCAUUAAGUGUUCCGCCUGGGGAGUACGACCGCAAGGUUGAAACUCAAAGGAAUUGACGGGGACCCGCACAAGCGGUGGAGCAUGUGGUUUAAUUCGAAGCAACGCGAGAACCUUACCAGGUCUUGACAUCCUUUGAAGCUUUUAGAGAUAGAAGUGUUCUCUUCGGAGACAAAGUGACAGUG
rnacentral:rRNA from 1 species